rnacentral:rRNA from 1 species
GGGUUGUGAGGUUAAGCGAAUAAGCGUACACGGUGGAUGCCUAGGCAAUCAGAGGCGAUGAAGGACGUGCUAAUCUGCGAAAAGCGUCGGUAAGGUGAUAUGAACCGUUAUACCCGACGAUAUCCGAAUGGGGAAACCCAGUAUCCAAUGGAUACUAUCAUUAACUGAAUUCAUAGGUUAAUGAGGCGAACCGGGAGAACUGAAACAUCUCAG